rnacentral:rRNA from 1 species
ACACAUGCAAGUCGAGGGGCAGCAUGAUUGAAGCUUGCUUCAAUUGAUGGCGACCGGCGCACGGGUGAGUAACGCGUAUCCAACCUUCCGUACACUCAGGGAUAGCCUUUCGAAAGAAAGAUUAAUACCUGAUGGUAUGAUGAGAUUGCAUGAUAGCAUCAUUAAAGAUUUAUCGGUGUACGAUGGGGAUGCGUUCCAUUAGGUAGUAGGCGGGGUAACGGCCCACCUAGCCUACGAUGGAUAGGGGUUCUGAGAGGAAGGUCCCCCACAUUGGAACUGAGACACGGUCCAAACUCCUACGGGAGGCAGCAGUGAGGAAUAUUGGUCAAUGGACGAGAGUCUGAACCAGCCAAGUAGCGUGAAGGAUGAAGGUCCUACGGAUUGUAAACUUCUUUUAUAAGGGAAUAAAACCUCCCACGUGUGGGAGCUUGUAUGUACCUUAUGAAUAAGCAUCGGCUAACUCCGUGCCAGCAGCCGCGGUAAUACGGAGGAUGCGAGCGUUAUCCGGAUUUAUUGGGUUUAAAGGGAGCGCAGACGGGUCGUUAAGUCAGCUGUGAAAGUUUGGGGCUCAACCUUAAAAUUGCAGUUGAUACUGGCGUCCUUGAGUGCGGUUGAGGUGUGCGGAAUUCGUGGUGUAGCGGUGAAAUGCUUAGAUAUCACGAAGAACACCGAUUGCGAAGGCAGCACACUAAGCCGUAACUGACGUUCAUGCUCGAAAGUGUGGGUAUCAAACAGGAUUAGAUACCCUGGUAGUCCACACGGUAAACGAUGGAUACUCGCUGUUGGCGAUAUACAGUCAGCGGCUU